rnacentral:piRNA from 1 species
UACAAAAUCUUAACUGUGGCCUGUCC